GUUGAAACCUCGUGGGGGAGGGCAGAGAGUGCGGACCUUGCUUGGCUCAUCCUGGCUCCUGGCUCUUUGCCUGGCACACAUGGGGCUCCAGAGCCUGUACAUGUUGCUGGGUGUGCAGUAAACACACAGAAAACAGUAUAUGCCCACCCUGCUCGUGAGGAGGGAGUUGCUGAGUCUACACUCUGUGCCAUCUACCAUGCAAUUCACCACAGUAAUUUCGAAUAGCUUCUUGGGUCUUGCAUCAUUUGUGAAAGUGAAGCAAACCUUCCUCUACUGUACAGAGGCUCUAAGAGGAGGCAUGUGGUAAGGCCAAGAUUUGGGAAACUUGAAGUUCCUGUUGUGACUCAGCAGUUAAGGAACCCAACUAGUGUCCAUGAGGAGGCGUGUUCCAUCCCUGGCCUCACUCAGUGGGUUAAGGGAUCAGGCAUUGCCUGAGCUGUGGUGCAAGUUGC
ensembl:lncRNA